GACGAACGCUGGCGGCGUGCCUAAUACAUGCAAGUUGAGCGCUGAAGGUUGGUACUUGUACCAACUGGAUGAGCAGCGAACGGGUGAGUAACGCGUGGGGAAUCUGCCUUUGAGCGGGGGACAACAUUUGGAAACGAAUGCUAAUACCGCAUAAAAACUUUAAACACAAGUUUUAAGAUUGAAAGAUGCAAUUGCAUCACUCAAAGAUGAUCCCGCGUUGUAUUAGCUAGUUGGUGAGGUAAAGGCUCACCAAGGCGAUGAUACAUAGCCGACCUGAGAGGGUGAUCGGCCACAUUGGGACUGAGACACGGCCCAAACUCCUAUGGGAGGCAGCAGUAGGGAAUCUUCGGCAAUGGACGAAGGUCUGAACGAGCAGCGCCGCGUGAGUGAAGAAGGGUUUCGGAUCGUAAAACUCUGUUGGUAGAGAAGAACGUUGGUGAGAGUGGAAAGCUCAUCAAGUGACGGUAACUACCCAGAAAGGGACGGCUAACUACGUG
rnacentral:rRNA from 1 species